UCAAACUAAUUGGACGACAUUGAGGUGCCUUUCAGCACCCUCCAUCUAUAUUUUAUGACCAUAUUUGGUUAUUAGUCGUCCUUUCCCACUACCGUCAGGGGCCGUAAUCUGUUUCUUGCUGUGUGAGUCUCUUUCUGGGACCAGGUGCAUGCAGAGUGCUGCUCCCAAGGUCAGGCUUCUGAAGACUCAACGGCUGCGUGGGAAACCGGUCUCCUUCGUUGAGCUGACGCAAAGAAACAGGAAGUGCAUCACUGUAACGACUUCAGAGCAACCUGCGGUGAUCCCACCAGUUUUAUCUCAUGCAUCUGACCUCGACAGUGGAACAGACCAGGAAACACGACGGCUUACCUCUCAAAAGUGGGUUGAUUCUUGUCAUUUACGCCUGAAGCAAGGAGGAUGGGAGCAUGGCUGCUGGGACGAUGAGUUCUGAAAGAUAGUCACUGAGCUUGUGUUACAGACAAAGUUAACAGAACCAAAAAGAGAAGAUCUGGACUGGGGAGGGAGAGAAGUUCAGGGCCUCGUUUACCUGUCUGGAACCGUCUCGACAUCUUCUGUACAGUGGCACAUACAGAAAAGAGUGAUAUGAAUUAUGCACAGCUACAGAGUGACAAGAAACCUUUCCACAGGCCACUAAAGUGUGAUUUGUUAUUGUCUACAGAUUCAUAUUUGUACAUCUCUUCCAGGGUUCCACCCUUGCUCUAUUUAUGUGUAUGGGGAGCAUCCAUGUUAUUCUCAUAUUGUGUGGGUUUCCUCCCUAUUUCCAAAAGCACCCCAUUGGGCAGCCCUUUGAACUGCAAUAAUUGAAUUGCACACUGCUGAAAUAGCGUGUGUGUGAAUGCAUGAAUGAUGGACUGCCAUCCCAUCUGGUAUGUCCCCUGCCUUAAGCACUGUGCUUCCUGAGACUGGCUCCAGGCUUGCCUGGACAAGAUAAAUGGCAAGAAGCUGGAUGGAGCUCGCAAUGAAAAAAAAAAGACAAUGAUGUUAACACUGGUAUGAUUUCAACACAAAUUGAAACUCAAAUCUGGACUCAGAUCUGUAAUGAUUCAGGCUCCAAGCACUGACUAACAGGGCUUCAAGCUGGUAAGGUGAUGUUCUCCUCAACGCUUAAUAUAAACAAAGACUAUCACUCAGUGCAGCAGCGUGUUUAGCAGCUAUUUCUCAAUACAGCUGCCAUUAUUUACUUCAGCACUGAGCCGGACCUCAAAAAUUUACCGAGACCCAAACUUUGGUUGUAAGAGCAAGCGGGAGAACUGCUAGCUUACGGCUGCAGAAGUGUGGAAGCAUAAAGCUGUAAAUAUUCACCAAGAAAAAAAAUAACAGGUAUCUCUGCAUCAGGAUCAUGGGGUUGAUUGUUCUUCAUUCAUGCCAGUUUUGAAUGAACUUCUGCUGACUUUCUAUUUGCAGUAUGAACGCAGUGAAAUUACAGUCCUUUGCAAAAGUCUUAGGCAGUCAAAGGAAAUGUUUUAAGCCGUUUGUCUGGGUGAUAAGUGUACAUGUGCUUGGAACAAAAAGCAUAAUUUAACAUUAGAACACAUGCAAAUUGAGAAUAGCAAUAAACACUAACAGAAUUUUC